GUCCGGCUGCGCGCGGAGGCCUGGACCGGGCGGCCAGGUGAUGUGGACCCCUGUCCUUCUGCGGAAGAAAGGGACCCCCGCAGCGGCGGCCCCCGGCCGUCCGAGCCGGUCAUUUUGACAUCAGCCCUUAGGGACCUUGGGGCAGCCCCCCCAUCUCCACCGCUCCCCCACCCCCAAGCUCGCUGAAGUGCCCUUAAGGAUGCUGUGAUCAGGGAACCGGGCUCUCCUUGCUUGCGGGAGGGGCACUGCCGGCGCUUUUGAACUCGGUGCAGGAAAACAAACAAACAAACAAACAAACAACAUCCUCCCACCCCCCAAAAAAAAACCAAACCCGAAAAACAUAACAAAAUAAAACCCCAGAAUGAUGCUGUCCGAGCAAGCCCAAAAGUGGUUCCCAACCCACGUGCAGGUCACAGUGCUCCAAGCUAAAGACCUGAAGCCAAAAGGCAAAAGUGGCACCAAUGACACAUACACCAUAAUUCAGCUGGGCAAAGAAAAGUACUCGACUUCUGUAGCAGAGAAAACGCUGGAGCCUGUCUGGAAGGAGGAGGCCUCCUUUGAGUUGCCUGGGUUGCUCAUGCAGGGCAAUCCAGAGAAAUACAUUCUUUUUCUUAUAGUGAUGCACAGGUCCCUAGUGGGACUGGAUAAGUUUUUAGGGCAGGUGGCAAUCAAUCUCAAUGACAUCUUUGAGGACAAACAAAGAAGGAAAACAGAGUGGUUUAGAUUAGAAUCCAAACAAGGAAAGAGAAUCAAAAACAGGGGUGAAAUAAAGGUCAAUAUUCAGUUUAUGAGAAACAAUAUGACAGCAAGUAUGUUUGACUUGUCAAUGAAGGAUAAGACGAGAUCGCCUUUUGCAAAAUUAAAAGAUAAGAUGAAAGGGAGAAAAAAUGACGGGACAUUCUCUGAUACAUCUUCUGCAGUCAUUCCAAGCACACACACGCCCGAUGCCAGUACUGAGUUUUCAAGCGGUGAAACACAGAUGAAAUCCAAACCAAAAAAGCCUUUUCUUUUGGGUCCUCAGCGGCUCUCUUCUGCCCAUUCGAUGUCUGAUUUAACUGGGUCCCACUUGUCUUCUGAAAAACUGAAGUCCAGUGCUGUAGGUCCAACACAUCUUCUCAGUCGCCAGAUAGAUUCCUUUGGAGUUGUUCCAGAAAGUGGAAGUCUCAAGUCUCCACACAGAAGAACACUAAGCUUUGAUACUUCUAAACUGAACCAACCCGGCAGCAUUGUGGACGAAGGCGAACCCUCUUUUGGAAGACAGAGUGACCCGUUUAUAAAUGUGACUGCUUCAUUACCCCAAAAAUUUGCAACACUGCCAAGAAAGAAGAAUCCAUUUGAAGAAAGCAGUGAGUCGUGGGAGAGCAGCAUGAAUUUAUUUUCAAAACCAAUUGAAGUAAGGAAAGAAAAUAAGAGAGAGAAAAGAGAGAAAGUGAGCCUGUUUGAAAGAGUGACCGGGAAGAAAGAUAGUAGAAGAUCAGAGAAGCUUAACGAUGGGGGAUCUGAUAGCCCCUGUGACUUGAAAUCACCUAGUGCGUUUAAUGAAAACCGGCAGGACUAUUUUGAUUAUGAGUCAACCAAUCCGUUUACAGCAAAAUUCAGGGCUUCAACUAUAAUGCCAUCUUCAAGUCCAUGUUGGCCUCAAACGCCUCUUCAUUGUUGGAAUUACAGUUUUCAUAUGACUCCAACAAGCAGUGAAGACCUCAGGAAAAUCCCGGUGCCCGUGGGUCCCCAGGUGUCCAGGAUUCAGCUGUCACUGCAGUGGCUGAUGGCCCUUGAAGCAAGCCGGAGGACCUCUCUGAGAAGGCCCCUGCUCCUGCAGGCGCUGGCUCUUCACAGAUGCCCUGACAGGGUUUGAGAAGCAGAGAUGAGAUGAACAAAGUUGGAGAACGGCAUAUGGUCGGCGCUCUGAGAAUGCAGUAUCAGCUCUCUCUGAGACCUGACUGGAACCCCCAGAGAGGGCGGGCGGCCAGCCUCUCCUCAGAUGCCUGCUGCAGUUUAUCCGGAGCCCAGGGACCGGAACUGUCCGAGUAUGACUGCACAGCCCUAACUUUCUCCAUCUUCCGGGAGACCAGACCGAUCCCUUCACAGCUCGGCUGUCCUAGAGUUUCCUGAUCCCCAGCUGAACAGCAAGAUUCGCAGUCUGGCUUCUGUUGGGUUGUGUGUGUGUGUGUGUGUGUGUGUGUGUGUGUGUGUGUGUGCGCAUGUGUGUGUGCGCGCGCACGCCUGCAUGUGAGGCAUGCAUACACAGGUGGUGUGUGUGCAGGUGUGCACACAAUCGUGUGGAGGAUAGAGGACAACCCUGGGCAUGAUUCUGCCUCAGGUAAUGUCCACCCUUAUUAAACUUGAUGUUCUCUUAGCUACAAAUGGUACAGAAUUGGCAGGCUGCUCCGUAGGCCUCUCUUUCAGAGUGCUGGAGAAAAGGACAUGCGGGUACAGGAGACUUGCUCAUUCAGGCCUGCUGGCUUUAUAAGUGACACUAUUGUCCGAUUUAUUCCAGUGUCCCCUCCAGAGGCGGUGAGAGAGUGGAGGAACUUGAAAACUGAGCUGAGCAGUUUGGAAGAAAGGCAUUAAUGGCCACGGCUGAACCAGAGGGUGUCAGAAUGAAGAAGAGCCUUCAUGACAGAGGCUUCUGUCUCAGCCUCAAUGGACACCUGAAUGCCGACGGCUGGGACAGGACCAGGACCUAGGCCCACACUGCGUGGCCUAGUCCCCAAGGAGGUUCCUGGGGUAGAGGACAAGGGCCUACUCUUCACAGACGUGGUUCUCCCCUAGUACUUCCGGGGUUCCUGGCCUCCUCAUCCUGGUCAGAGGAAUAUUAUCUUUCAUCUUCCUUGCUCAAAGCACUUGAUUUAAACCUUGCUAGUUCUUUCCUACAUUUAUCAAGAAAUCCUUUUAAAAACUCUCUUUCAUUUCCUGGUGAUACAGCCCAGUUGGCGAAGUGCCUAGGGCACAGCAAGCAUGAGGGCUCACAGCAAAAGUAUACCCGUAACCCCAGUGCUGAGAGAGAUGUGGACAUGGGGCACGUCCUCGGCACUCUGGCCAAUGAAUCUCGCUGAAUUCAGGGGUUCCAGCUUCAUUGACGGACUUUGCAUCAAAACUGUAUAAUAAGGUGGAAGAGUUAUCGAGGAAGAUAACCAGUACUGCCCUCUGGCCCUACAUGCACAUCCACACGUGGACACCAACGUUCAUAAUUGCAUAAACACCACAUACAACCCUCCCAUCGGCAGGGUAGCCACGUACAAUAUCUGGCUACUGCUUGUCCUUUUCCUCUCCUAUGAAUGGUGUGGCUGGGAGGAUCCUCAUAUAUACUGUUUUCCCCAGGUAAACGUGGCUUCAGACAUAAUGGAGAGCAUUAAAAUAUUUCACAUAAGGUAUAGUGUACUCAUACUCUUAAAUGAAAGCACCUGUCUGGAUAAAGGAUGGGCGUGAAGACAGCACUUAUGAGACCCAUUGGCCAUCAUUUCUUGCAGAACCCUUCUGCCUCCUGUGGCAUCCCUGACUCUUGAGCUUGGCCUCACUCUUCAGACUUGAGCUGCUCUCCUGGACUUUGUGCCUGGCAUGUCUCCACUCACAUGCUAACCACUUAAACAUAUGUACAUAUUGUUGGUUUUCCUUGCUGCAUGGUAUUCUGUUUAGAUUUCCAUUGUUGAUAAUUUUUUAUUCUCAAAUGCCAUUGUUGUGAGCAUUUUGUUUGUGCUCCUGGAAAUCACAUGCUAGUGUUUCUCUGGGAGUGAAAUUAGACAUACUGCAGUUUCUUUAAUUCUAACAUGGUCUGUUGCAGGCAAUAUGGGAGUUUUUUAGAGUGGCCAGUGGAGGCUUUCAUGAACCCCCUGAUGUCUAUGUUUAGAUGGACAACACAGUUGGCAUGUGGACACUCAGCAUCUCUAGUUUCUCCUCUGUGAUGCCAGUGACAUCCUCAUCAUUCCCUCCGGUCCAUGUUGGAGCCAAGGAGAGCCCAGUGUGGCCAAAGAUGUGGAGUGGGACGUCUCCUUUGUCACUGAUACAGUGCUUUGACUAACCUUUGUUAAUGAGACAAACAGAACACAUGUUAAAUGUCUCAUGUCAUUAUCCAGAGCUCAACGUGUAGCCUCCAUAACAAUUAGAAAACUAGAUGAAACCAACAGCCCGGGACUGCUGGGUUAACCCAUUGAGGGAAAGCAGGAUGAAGUCAUCUAAAAGAUGGCUGAACUUAACACAUGGGGCUGUGUGGAAAGCUCUCCAGCCAGCCUCUUCUGUGACCUAAAAGAAUUUUUAACAUUUAAUCACCAUACAAGUGUGUGUGUGCUUGUGUGCAUGUGUGCAUGUAUGUGUGGGCACAUGUAUGUGUGUAUGCAUGUGUGUGUGUGUAUUGUGCAUGUGCAUAAGGAGGGAGACUAAGACAGAGAGAAACACACACACAGAGACUUUGUCUUCCUUCUUUUUGUCUUAGUUUCUGAUACUGUGCUGACCUUCAUAGUACUGGGAUUGCAGUCUGUGUUACCACAUCCAACAUUAGGGCUUUAGUCUUGGCAGAGGUAAAUUCUAGUUGGUAUCUGCAGUCCCUUGGGUCAUGGUUCAUUGUUCUUUUGUCAAUUUUUUGUAUUGUUAAUAUAUCUCUACUGCAUUUUAUACAUAAAUAUAUAGUUCUGUAAUUACCCACACAACUUAAAUAUAAAUUACUGCAUAAAUCUUAAAAUCUUAUGAGUAUAUACAGAAAUGAAUACACUUCCAAUAUAGUUUUAAAUAUAAUACUAAAAUUUUAUGUCUUUAAACUCAUUUAAAAUAUUUUCACAUAUAAGUAUAUAGUUAAACAUAUAAUGUAAAUUAUACAGUUUAAAUGGCAUUGGGGGUGAGGUCAACACUGAGGCAGCUGACAUAGAAACAAAGAAGAUGAUUGCAAAAUAGUUGGGAAUUUUCCCUUCUCACCGCCAAAUCUUCCCUGCAUGCAGGUAUGGCCUGGGAGUACACUUAACUGGGCAUGUCUACCUCUCUUGCCUGUAAAGCUGUGGGCUUGUUAAUCCCGAUGCAGUUGGACUAACUGAAGCUAUAGUCAUUAUACUUAAUUGGGCGAGUGGCCCUCUGAGCUGUCUAUAAACUGUGUGUUCACAAUGAGGUAAUUAAUAACGCCACUUCCUUUUGGGAGACAUAUCAUUAGCCAUUAUUUCUAGAAACAUGACAUUGAUCUCUUUAUUCAGAGAGGUAAUUGCAGGUUUCUGAAAAGAGUGUAUGGUUUACCCAACAAUUCCCCGCAAAUGACAUCAUCGCUGAGAAGUAAAACCCACAAAAUCUGUCAUUUUGAAUCCAUAGCUGGGAUUUAAUUCCCGAGGUGAUUAAAAAAAAAGACUCUGAAAGAGUGUGGUUGUGGGGGGGACUUAUUUUGGGAUGGAAAUGAGAGGGAAAGAUAAGAGUUUUUAAUUUAAUAUAUUAGUUUCUUUAAGAGAGGUUAGAGGCAGGGAAUUUAUGCUUGUUUGGGACGAUUGGUAUAAGAGGAAACAAAGAAACCUUUAUUUUUAAAGGCUUGUGCCUGCAUUUUCAUAAUGGUUUUCCUAUUGUGUCUUAAACAAACCUGACAAAUGGAUUUGAUUUCAAUAUUACCAUCUAAAGCCCGUGCAUUAAGUCCAGUUCUUAACCUUAAAAAAAUAAGCAGGAAAAUGCAGCCACCCAGGACUUGACAUUUCUCAUGACUUGGAUCCGUUCUGUUGAUCAUGAAAUAAGCAAAGAUUUCAGAGUAACUCUGGGUGAAGCUGCAGUCACUCAGGUCAGGCCCACCUCAGUGGUCACAUUAAAUUGGAAAAGGUCUAACUGCUACAUUUCACCUUCCUUAAUGAAUUUUCUAAGGUUGUAGCGGGAUUAAAAAAAAAAAGACCUUUAUUCGUUUGGGUUAUUUUCUUUCCAGUUUCAAAUCCACCUGGGUUUCUAAAACAGCUUUUGUGCAUUGGUCAAGGAAGCUAAAAAUAGACAGCAAGAGACUGACUGCCUCUAGACACUUCUGUUGGUUUUACACUUUGAGCAGUUCACAUAUUGAUUAAUUUGGAAAUCGUGAUUUUCUUUUCCGAAACACCUUUCUGGUUUGGCACAGAUGAGAGAGGGGGUAGAAUCCACAUAGAAAUGAGAUGCACUAAGCUUGUCAUAAACCCGCUUUCCACAAAUGUGAGGACCCCCUCAAAAUUAAAGGUGCUGCAAAUUAGUUUGAAACAGGGUGCACUUGUCUGUUCCAUUAGACAUGGUAGAGCAGGUAGACAUAUAAAAAGAAGUCUGAAGCAUAGAAAACUGUACGGCUUUAUUUACCUAGAGGUUAACUAGUUUGUUUGAAAGCUGUUUCCUCUUUCUGUUAUAAUGUAUAUUUCUUAAAUGUUUAUAAUAACGGGUUAAAGCCAACAAUCUCAUUUUUUUGUCAUAACUCCUGUUAACACAUUAUGGAGUUAGCAUGUCUCGAAACACCAAAGCAAGAAAUGCCCAGAGUGACCCCAUUUAGCUAUCUGUUCAGCUUCCCUUCUAUUCAGAGAAACAAAGGAACCAUUUGAAUAUGGACUGUCUUGUGAAAUCUAAUAACUUUCAACCUGGAAACAAUGAACUGUCACAGGUGCAAAUUCAUUCCUCAGACAUAAAAUAAUCCUCACGAUUAGUCAGAACUAGUGAGGUGGUGUUGACCAGACCUGAACUGCAUUCAGCCUGCAAAGAGGAAGGAAAAGGUGUUUCCCGAGAAAGUAAAAAGCAGUAACACUUUAAUCUCAUAAACAUAAUUUUAAAACUUUAAGAAAAUCCUGCUGAAAGAAAAUAGCUCAUUUAAAUUUUAAUUUCUAAUAAACAAUGGCAGUUUUUCAACGUGGUGUUCAAAUGCUAGAUAAUUAUUUGAAUGGUAGAGUUAAAGAUGUCAUUUAAUAUCUUUGCACCAAAUAAGAAGAUACUUCAUUGAAUAAUUUGCAUUUUUAAGGUUUUGAAUCUUGGGGGAUGGUACUUAUUUGUGGCUUAUGGGUUUUAAAAAACAUCAUCUCAUGACAAAUUUGGUUAACAUUACUAAAAGCUACAUCUUAAAUAUCGGUGCCUUGUUGUUAAAUACACUAAAUUUAUUAGUA